UACGAAGGGGGCUAGCGUUGUUCGGAUUUACUGGGCGUAAAGCGCACGUAGGCGGAUCGUUAAGUGAGGGGUGAAAUCCCAGGGCUCAACCCUGGAACUGCCUUUCAUACUGGCGAUCUCGAGUCCGGAAGAGGUGAGUGGAACUCCGAGUGUAGAGGUGAAAUUCGUAGAUAUUCGGAAGAACACCAGUGGCGAAGGCGGCUCACUGGUCCGGUACUGACGCUGAGGUGCGAAAGCGUGGGGAGCAAACAGG
rnacentral:rRNA from 1 species